rnacentral:rRNA from 1 species
GGUCCUGUGAGUGAUGUGUGCGGGAUUUGGCCUGCCCAAUGAUGUAUUGAAUGGCCGCGGUAUUUUGACCGUGCAAAGGUAGCAUAAUCAUUAGUCUUUUAAUUGAGGUCUGGAAUGAAUGGUCGGACGGAGAAUAAGCUUUCUUAAGAUUAAAUUUAAAAUGAAUUUUACUUUUUAGUGAAAAGGCUUAAAUUUUCUUGGGGGACGAUAAGACCCUAUAGAUCUUUAUGCCCCCAAUUCUUUACGAAGAACUGGGGGUAUUUUGUUGGGGUGACAGGGAGAUAAUAUAAACUUUCUUAAUAUUAAAUUACUAGUGAGUAUAAGUGAAGAUCCGCCUGUGGCGAGUGCUAGAUUAAGUUACCUUAGGGAUAACAGCGUAAUUUCCUUUAAGAGUUCAAAUCGACAGGGGAGAUCGCGACCUCGAUG